AUUUCUUCUGUAGACAAUUGUUAUUUUCAUCUCUUCGCUUCUGCGGUCUUUUUCUUCCUUCCAUGGUGGUGGCUGGAAACAAUUUAGUCCUAUUUUUUCUUGGUGAUUCUUCCAACUUCUGUAACAUGCAAGUGGAUUUAUGCUUGAACUUGACUUGGUUCGUUGCGUUACAGUGGGAUAACUUUGUUCAACUUCAACAUCCAAAACCCAUCACCAUUUCCUCCAUCAGGUGGCUAGGUAGAUUGUUGUUGCGGCAUUUGGAGAAUUCAGGGAUCUCUUGCUGUAUCAAGAGCACCAAGUGGGUUGCUCAAAUUCAUCAAUGUUGUCAAAUGUAUGCCUGCAACCUUCAGUAUCUUCCAGAAUGAUUCCAAGAAGGCACACAAGUUUAAGAGUCAUCGAGAUUCAUCAAGUUGAUCUUCUCAUGUUUUCCCUCCAGAGUCUGCUGUACCUGACUUAUAUCUAUUAUUUGCUGGUACACUAUUACAAUCCCAAUUACAGUAGAAAUCAUAUCCUAUUAUUUUGGUUAGAAAAUUACUACUAUAUUUGGUGUAAUGAUAUUUUGGUUUUAUUGCUUUCUUGUGAAAAAUUGCUUAUUCUCUUACCUUGCUGCUAAAUUUGGUAUAUGCAUUUUCUCAUGUUACGCGUAGUUUCAACAAAUGAUAUUUGCAUCAGUUUGUUAAAAAAGUAAUAAAACAAAGGUCACUGCAAAGGUAAGAUGUGGUAUGCAAGUGGCAGGGUUCUUUUGCAGUAGAAUUGAUAUUCUCUGAUAGAAUUUAUUAAUAUCUUUUCCUACAUUCAUUUUCAUUACUUUUCAUAUGAAAGAACCUUGAGGAGGUGCUAUCUACUUCUGGAUCAAGCUAAUAGAAUAUGGUAAAAACUAUAACCUUCUUCACAGUCAUUAGUUUUCGUAUGAAACAACCCUGAAGACGUGUUUUACAAUGUCCAUGACCUAAAUCUGUUUUUGUUUUUCUGUAUUUAUAUGGAUACUUUAACUCUAGAGGAUAGAAAGAUUGGCAGAAAAAGGCAGAGGACAGGAUACGAGUUUUUAUAUGUUCUACUGCUAUGCUGAUGAGUGAUGAGAUUUUUUUUUUUUUUUUGGAAUCCACUAGGCAUUGUGCCUAGGGUUGAUUUUCAUAUAUAUAAUAUAAAGUACAACAUUGGAGGGGGACAUAAAACCUAACCUCCAGAAAUAAGAUGAAAGGGCAUUUGUUUGUCCAACAUUGACAUCCAAAUGACACCUGUAUGCUGUGAUGGGUUAGACCUAACAUGAGGUUCCAAUUAUCUACCCCUAAGUGGUAGGUAAUCAGAUAUACAAAAUCAAGCUGAGAAUAACCUAGGUCAACUAUACAGACUAGCAUAAGUAAACCUAAAUCUAUGCAAAAAAGUUGGAAAGGUUCUUCCUUAUACAACAAGUUCUACAUCUAUACAUGUAGAAAUGUCCUAACAGGAAUGAUGCCUGAUCAAGAUCCUUGGUAGGGGCUAUCUUCCACUUUGCUUUAGCAUUGUAAACCAAGAAAGCCAAGUGGAAGAUAACUGUCAAAAAGGCUCCAAGAGUGGAUGCACUGGGCUGCCGCUGUCUGCUGAUUCUGACAGAAAAGAGUGAGCAAAAUGGUGGCUCAGGUCUUGCUUCAGUUGUCCAGUUGAUAAAUUUUGAACUGGGCAGAGUGUCUUGGACAGGGAUGGCUGCAUUGGUGGUGAAAUGCUGUGGCUGCAUCUGCUUCUGGAACUGCAACUGCUUCUGAGACUUUGCCUGAGUUCUGAGAACUGAUGGCCUCAUGGUUGUGAUAUAUGCUGAGUGUUGUAUCCAAGGUUGAAAGACCCAAAGGGUGUAUAAGGAAGUUGGUGAAGAGAUUUGGAUCAACUGAUGCAUUUUCAGCAGAACGAGCAUAAGAAUGCUGAUACCACUGACUGAGUGUUGAAUCUGGGGGCAAGGGGGGGAAUUGGGACCCCUGAUUUAUGGAGGAUGGUACCUAUCUUUAGGUUCUUGUGUAGACUAAAGUUAGGUGCUUGAAUGUUGCUUUGAGUGUAAAGGGUUUCAGGUGAGAGGGAUUCAUGAAUAAUACCCUUGGAGAUGUUGAAGUGGUAAAGAGGGCAAAAGGUUGGAUUCAGCUGAGCUCCUAAAGGUUUCAGCUACAAAAAGCUUUGAAUUUUCUGUGUUUGUAUCUGUUAAGUUCCUUAUGGGAGAGGUGAGUGUUCCUGAUUGCAUCUGUGGGUUGAUGCUACUGUUUUUUGGUAAUUUGAUGCUACUGUUGGAAUGAGUUGUGAGAGCCAACUGAUCUACUUCCAGGAGAAUGAACAUCAAUGAUAUUAAUACCACUCCUAGGAAGUGUAUCAAUUGGAUGAGUGGUGGCCAUGAGGAUGAACCUGCAAACAGAGAAAUGUGUUAGUAGGAAAUUGAACAUUUGUGCUCAGUUUUUUGGGAAAGCUGUAUUUGAGAGGUUCAGGGUGGUGUGCAGAAUUGCAUUGCCAACAGAAGGGGGGUGCUCCUAGGUUCUUGUGGGUUCUAGAAGCAUUGUUGGGGAGGGGAAGGAAUACCAGAAGAGGUGCACAUAGGAAUUGCAUUUGUUUCAGGUUUUUUUCCUCUUUUUGAAAAGGUUUUUUGUGUUGGUGGUGAAAAUCUGGUGGUCUAUUGUGAUGAAUGGUAUAGGAGGAAUCCUGCUUCUCUUUAUGAUCUUCAUCAUUCUUUUGUUGUAAUUUCAGAGGAGUGAGCACAAGUGCUGAUACCACCCCUUGGAAUAUCAACAAAGGACUGGUGAGUUCAUAAAAGAGAUGGACCUGCAAAAAAGAAAACAGAGUUAGUGAAAGCUUCCUGUCUGACCAUCUCCUUUAGUUGUUGGGAUGGGCCUCCUUCUUUGAUAUUGCUUCAACCAUAACCAUUAGAUGUGGAGAGAGGACUUGCAUGUUGAGGUGGUACCAGCAGCCUGUUAGUUUUCUUGUGUCUGGAGACUGGGGUACUCAAUUGGUCUUGGACUAUUUGACCUCUGAUAUGGGAUGGUAAUGAUGCAGCAUUGGUGAAAUGAGUUGGUAAAGUGAGUUCAUGACUGAGUUUUGAAAGGGAAUCAGCCGGGCAAUUUGCUUCUCUAUAAACAUGAGUAACCUUGAAAUCCUCAAAGAGAGAGCAUAGGAGCCUGAGUUGAGAGAUCUUCUCACUUAAAACCCAUGGAAGGUCAUUUUCCUACCAAUUUACUAGGAGUGCAGAAUCUGCUUCCAAAUGAAUUCUUGGAAAUCCACUAUCCAAACACCACUGAACUCCUAUUCUGGCUGCUUCAGUUUCAGCAUAAUUGUUGGUACCCUCCCCCAAUGGAAUAGCCAUUGCAUGAAUGAAGUGACCAUUUUGGUUCCUGAUGAUGACACCUCCUCCAAUCUUACCAGGAUUUGUCAUUGCACUUCCAUCUGAAUUGAUUUUGACAAAUCCAUUGUCUGGCUUGCUCCAUGUGACUUGAGUUAUGGUAAUGUGGUGCUGAAGGUUUUCAAUGAAGGCGUAAAGUUCCCCCCAAUUAAAAGGCCAUUGGAGGUCUGGGUAGUUGGAUCUUAGGAGUAGGUUGAUGUCUGAAUUGACUGAGUAGAGGACUCUAGUAAGGGAAGAGUUUUUGGCCCCAUACUUGGCACUACAUCUGUUCUUCUAAAGAUUCCAGCAAAUGAUGAUGGGAAGAGUAUCUAGGAUGAGUUUUUGCACAGUAUUAUUAGUUUUCAGCAUCCACCAUUUCAUAAGAAGCAACCUCAGAGGCAUGUUCUCAGUUUGGAUGCCUACAUAGCCACCAUAUUUCUUCCAUAUAAUUCUUGCAAAAUUUCCAGAAUUGAAAAGGUGAUCCACUGUUUCCAAGGCAUGCAUGAGUGAUGAGUUGAAGGAAGGUUUCUACCCCUGGAUUGACCAGCCAUGCAGGAGUUGUUAUGAUAUGCCAAACUGACUGUAGAGAAAGGGAUAGCAGAUUUCGAAAAUGAGAUUAAACUCUUGGAUUGCAGGAGUUGUUAUGAUAUGCCAAACUGACUGUAGAGAAAGGGAUUGCAAAUUGCGAAAAUGAGAUUGAACUCUUGAGCCUUGGGUUGGAUGAUCACAACUCUAGAAGAGCACAAAAAUGAGGCAGGCAAAGUCAGUUUGUUUUAGAGUCGGCGUUACUGUUUUAGAUACUCCAAUAACAUUGCAUGUGUUGUACUAUGAAUUAAAAAGCUCAUUUUGGGGUAGAGAUGGAUUUUAUUUGCUAAAGAAUGAAAAAGAUUUACAAGUUAGUGUCCAUGAUCUGAAAUUGCAGUCAUCAUGUGAUUCAUUGCAUUCAAUGGAUUAUACUUUUCCUGGAUCUAAAGAUUGUUUUGCACUUUGCUACUUUAUUUUUUGUCUUCCUUCAGGAAGUGAAUUGAUAUUCAUCAAUAAGUGUGGGAAAUUUUGAGGCAAAACAACACAUUUCCACAUUUCACUUUGGCAAGAGGCCCGGGAAUAGAUGUGUGAAAUAUGAAAUAUGGACACCUGAAACAAAAUCAAAGUUUCCUUCAAUAAUUUACUUCAUAGAAGUAGAAAGCUGGCGCCUGAACCUCCUAUGUUGGGCUGUAGCUGUGCAAACAAUACAUACAAUACUGUCGAGCAUAUGCCCGUGCACAGCGCGGGCACCAGCCAUCUAGUAACUAUAUAAUAAGUGAAGCCCUUAGGUAUAACAAUCGAAAAACAGCUGGUAAUUUUGGAAGAAAACUGCAACCUCAGGGGCUUAUAUUCUUCUAUGUGUUUCUGGUGCUUCUUCUAUUGUUCUGUGCAUUUCUUCACACUUCAACUGUCAGAAUGUUGAAUUGAAAUGCAUGAAGGAGAAAAAAUUAAGAAAACCAUGAAUGAGCUAUACAACUCUACAAAGUGAUGAUGUCAUACCCAAGGCACACAAAAUAAAUUUUGUAAGUUUAGAAAUGUGAUUUUGGUGAUUUUUUUAAACUUACAGUAAUCCAGAGCAAGCUUGCCUCAUAUCUUUGGUUAUGCCAUAAUUAAAAAUUUGAUGAUAGAUUUUAUUCUUGUGCCGUGGGAUUCAAUACAGUGAGGUUCAAGAUCUUGUGGAUGAUGGUCCAAUAAAAUCUGGAGUUUGAGCGUUGAAAUGCACAAUUUGGUCGUCCAAGGAUAAAAUCGUACGGUGCAUAGUGAGGGCUGUUUUUUCCAAAUUGGUUUUCACACGUAUACUUUUUGAACGACGUGUUUUGAAUCUUCUCUUCUUUCUUCGUAUCCAUAUUUCUAGAAUCGUACGUUGUGGAUCGUACGUUGUGGUUUCCCAUAGCGCUCUUUUUCCCUCUCUUACAUCAUCUUCUUCCUGGAUUCUGAUUAUUUUUUUUCCUGAAAUUUUUCCUCUGCCCUUUUCGAAUUCCAUAUACUCCGUAUUAUAUUUUCCGCGUAGAAGGUAUAGAAAUUUCUUAUGACUAUUCUAGAACUACCUGUUCUUUUGCUCUUCUCUUAAUUGAUUCUACUUAUGCAUGUCCAAAUUUCUUGGUUGUCUUCAGAUUGUGUCAAAGAAAGUUCUCUGAGAGGUUGUGACGUUUUAGAGAUAAGAGCGCUCUGCAAUGAGUUUGGUGGCAAACAAUGGUACUAAAAGAAACUCAAUGAGAAUAUAAAUGCUAUGUGAAUAAAAAAAUUCAAAGGUCGUGGAAAAGGGAUCUUGGAACGUCAGCACCUUUUGGCUGAGUGUCAAGCAAUUUGCCAAUAUGACAAAAAAAAUGAUCAUGGAUUUGAAGAAGUCAUGAUAGGUGAUUUUGCUAGAUGUCAGAGUUAUGUAUCAGACUUUAUUUGCCACAUAUAUUGGCUAAGAUGAAUUAUUAGACUGAUUAGGCUAUUGCCUCCUUAAAGUUAACGUUCCAUCUGCUCAACCAGAUGAUGUUAGGGGGUGUAAUUGAUCUACUGAUGGUUUCGAUUGUGAAAAAAUAUUCAUAUUUAGACCAAAUUAAAUUCAACUGUUGGUCUCUUGGUUA